rnacentral:rRNA from 1 species
UACGAGAGGCCCAAACGUUAUUCGGAAUUACUGGGCUUAAAGAGCUCGUAGGUGGUUUGUCGCGUUGUUCGUGAAAUCUCACGGCUUAACUGUGAGCGUGCGGGCGAUACGGGCAGACUAGAGUACUGCAGGGGAGACUGGAAUUCCUGGUGUAGCGGUGGAAUGCGCAGAUAUCAGGAGGAACACCGGUGGCGAAGGCGGGUCUCUGGGCAGUAACUGACGCUGAGGAGCGAAAGCGUGGGGAGCGAACAGG